GAGGCGGCCAGAAGUGGCUCAACGACGAGAUUGGGUUGAAACUUUUUCCCGCACCAGCAGGUACUUCCCGGCAUCCAGUGCAGGACAGAUCGCACACCCUGUUCUAAAACAAACGCACAAGAGUGGCUGUCGGGCGCCAGGCCAGACAAUAUCCCUCUUUGUGUCGCCUGCACCCUCAACUACUGAAUGAGGAGUGUAAAUGGAGCAGGUCAUAAACAAACUGACGGAUCUGAGAAGAAACACAAACUGUCCGUCCAGACCCUCCUGUGGACUCAACCAACAGACAACACCCCACGCAGUCCUCAACAGACUCUUGAUAAGAAGAUAGUGCACAUGUGAACCGCCCCCGAUAUCACCACUAUUAAAUACAGCAGCUGCAAACAGACCCAGACAGCGCUUGGGCUGCAGGCUGCUGGGAAGAGAAAUAUACUACAAUCCUCACAUCUAAUAAUCAAUAGGUAAAGGAAUUUAAACUUAAUUA